rnacentral:tRNA from 1 species
GUCGCAUUGGCGCAAUGGUAGCGCGCAAGACUUCUAUCAGCGGUAGAGAUCUUGAGGCUGUGGGUUCGAGCCCCACAUGCGAUG